GACGAACGCUGGCGGCGUGCUUAACACAUGCAAGUCAGGGGGCGGGGUAACCCGUAACCGGCGAACGGGUGCGGAACACGUGAGCGACCUGCCGUGGCGUGGGGGAUAGCCGGCCCAACGGCCGGGUAAUACGGCAUACUGCGCCCGCCUGGAAGCGGGAGGCGAAACUCGAAAGCGGCGCCAGGAGGGGAUGGUAGCCAAUCAGCCAGAUGGUGUGGUAACGGGGCUCCAAGCCGAUCAUGGGUAGCUGGUCUGAGUGGAUGGCCAGCGACAUUGGGACUGAAGGACGGCCCAGACUCCGACGGGGUGCGGCAGUGUGGAAGAUUGCGCAAUGGGCGAAACACUGACGCAGCGACGCCGCGUGAAGCAUGAGGGCCUUCGAAUGGUAAACUCCUGUAGCACGGGACGAUUGCCCCGCAUCAACGCGGUUGACGGUACCGUGAGAAGAAGCACCGGCUAACUCUGUG
rnacentral:rRNA from 1 species